GGACUACUCGGGUAUCUAAUCCUGUUCGCUCCCCACGCUUUCGUGCCUGAGCGUCAGUUACGGUCUAGUAAGCUGCCUUCGCUAUCGGUGUUCUUUAUGGUAUCUAUGCAUUUCACCGCUACACCAUAAAUUCCGCCUACCUCGUCCGUACUCAAGUCCGCCAGUAUCAAUGGCAGUUUCUCGGUUGAGCCGAGAGAUUUCACCACUGACUUAACGGACCGCCUGCGCACCCUUUAAACCCAAUAAAUCCGGACAACGCUUGCACCCUCCGUAUUACCGCGGCUGCUGGCACGGAGUUAGCCGGUGCUUAUUCAUAUAGUACCGUCAAUUGGUCACGCAUGACCUUUUUCUUCCUAUAUAAAAGAAGUUUACAACCCAGAAGGCCUUCAUCCUUCACGCG
rnacentral:misc_RNA from 1 species